GAAACAAGAGUUCGCACCAAUAAUCCAAGAACAAGAAACUACAAUCAAUCUACCCGAAACAAGAGAUACCAACAACUAUCCAUGAACAAGAAAUUAUAAUCGAUCUGCUCGAAACAACAAAUAACAACAACAACAAUCCCAGGACAAGAAACUACAAUUGAUCUACUCGAAACAAGAGAUACCAACAAUAAUCCAAAACCAAGAAACUACAAUCGACCUACUCGAAACAGCAAACAACAACAACAACAAUCCAA
rnacentral:lncRNA from 1 species